UACGUAGGGUGCGAGCGUUGUCCGGAAUUAUUGGGCGUAAAGGGCUCGUAGGCGGCUCAGUAAGUCGGGUGUGAAACCUCCAGGCUCAACCUGGAGACGCCACUCGAUACUGCUGUGGCUAGAGUCCGGUAGGGGAGCAUGGAAUUCCUGGUGUAGCGGUGAAAUGCGCAGAUAUCAGGAGGAACACCAGUGGCGAAGGCGGUGCUCUGGGCCGGAACUGACGCUGAUGAGCGAAAGCGUGGGGAGCGAACAGG
rnacentral:rRNA from 1 species